ensembl:lncRNA
ACCCUCACACGUUGUUUCUGGCCAUCCCUCCCUCUUUCGUGCAGGAGGGGAUGGCAAAGAACAAAGAGCUACGAAGGCGAGGGAAGAGCUCCUCCCCUGACGCCAUUUUAACGGGAGUCGGAAGCGGGAUCACUGCGCCUGCGUUAUUCGCUUCGGCCCAAGAAAGGCGCGUGGAGGAGAGAAGCGGAGCUCUUGGGGCGCCUCCCGGAUCGGGACCUGGACGGAGGGGUGAGACUGAACUGAGUUGUCUUUGCUGUUUUGGGGACCAAAACCGAAGAACCAAACCCCAUAUCCUUCCAACAUUUGCAAGGCAUCGCGGUGGCAUCAAAGGCCUAACCCCGAUCAUCUCUUCUUUGGGGUGGAGUGGGAAACCUGCAGCCCUUGACGGCAGACCUUCUAAAGAGAUACUGAAGAGAGCAGGUAAGAAGGCUCUGAUCAUGGCUGUGUUUUUGUUGAGAAUCUGGAAACGUAAUUCUGAAAGAGAAACAGAGAGACUUCCAGACAUCUUUCAGCUCCCGGACUUCUCGUUCAGCAACAAGGGUGUUAUCUUGGGAAGGGACGUUUGUGUUUCACGGAAUGUCCUUGAAAGUCUUGGCUGUGCUCCGAUCCAGGAUGUGGCGUCUCCUUUCAGGGGAAGCUGUCCUGACGGGAGAGGGGCCUCCUGGGCCUUUUUCCCCCGAGUGCCUCUGAGGUGGCAGUUGGCCAAAUAAAUCAGGAAGAAGGAGCAGAGGGGCCAUCAUCCUUCUGGGUUUCUCUCACAAUCAGCUCCCAUCGACCGGCUCAGAUUGUACUCCGCCUGCUGGAUCAGAUUGGGCUUGGGGUCUGAUCCUGCUUCAGGGGCUCUUCUUCGACACUUCAUAGAUGGAAACCAAGGUGUUUUGCUACUUGAUGGGAGGCAGAGCCCCUGGAGAAACAGAAACAGUUGGAUAUGGUCCAGUCUUCCAUUCUGCGUCUCACGGGAGGUGAAGUGAGGGAUACCACUGAGAAGGGCAAACCUGAUGGUCCACACUCACAGUUCCAGUUUUUUGCAAUCACUAAUCUGGCAACCGUCACAAACUUUUUCAUUAACUCCUUUUUUAUCCAAGCCCACUGCUCAUCCUCUUAAGAGUGCAACUUUGGGGGCAAGUUGCAUUAAGUUUUCAUUUUCUUCAAAUACUGUCUUCCAAAAUGUCAAAGUUGGUUCCCACUCUCAUUAUAUUUGAAAAUAAGUAACUAUAAUGUGACCACAUCUCCAAGACAAUAUACAGCAUUUAGAAUCCAUAAUAUUUAAUUUUUCCUGGUGCCAAAUACCUACUCCAUAUCAUUGUAUAAAUAUUUUGCUUUUAUUCCCGCAGAGGUAUUUUAUUAUUAUUUUUUCCUUUUUAAUACACAUUGGUUUACUACACACUGGAGCCAAAGUUUGGGAGUUCACUUCCCUUCUGGCUCUACAGUUAUAUUAACUCAGUACUUACUUCCCUGGCCAUCUCUGCUUCCUAACCUGUUGAUUCUCUUCCAAUAACGACAUUGUUGUUGUUGUUUAGUCAUUUAGUUGUGUCUGACUCUUCGUGACCCCAUGGACCAGAGCAUGCCAGACUCUCCUAUCUUCCACUGCCUCCCAAAGUUGUGUCAAAUUCAUGUUGGUUGCUUUGAUGACACUGUCCAAUCAUCUCAUCCUCUGUCCUCCCCUUCUCUUGCCUUCACACUUUCCUAACAUCAAGGUCUUUUCCAAGGAGAUGGAAAAGUAAACUGUCCUCUGAAUAUGCCGGCCACAGAGACUAGCGAAACAUUAGGAAGAACCACCUUCAGAACACAGCGAAGAAGCCCAAAAAACCCACAACAACCAUUAGAUCCCGGCCGUUAAAGCCUUUGCGAAUACAUUAAUGCAGCUUCCUAGGAACGUUGGACACCUUACUACUUCCUAUACCACCCCAUGGCUGUAGUGCAAUGUGUUCCAGCAAAAAUAGUGCAGAUCUUUAUUAAAUUUGGUGCAUUCUGCUAGUUAAGUACAUAGCCUGGCAGCCAUUGAUACUGAUGAUAUAUCCUGCUAGUUCGGUACACGGUCUGUGUAGAUUCAAUAAUAUUUUGAAUUCAAAUAAUGUAUGGUUUCCUUCUUUUCAAAUCAAGGGGGUAAUGUCAGCAUAUAUAAAAAAUUGGGGGGCGGGUAAAAGGUAAAAAAGGUCCCUGACCCCUGACCUAUGGUUUUAAUCAGGUCAUCCAAGCAAGGCAUAGGACAGGCAUCAACUUUGGUAAUAUGGUUUAAUUUCCUAUAGUCCACACAGAACCUGACACUCCCAUCAGGCUUAUCUACAAGAACUAUAGGCGCAGCUCAAGGUCUCAUGGUUGGGGUGAUUAUAUUGGCUUUCAGCAUCUCAUUUAGUUCUGUGCAGAUUUUAUCCACAUAGGGACCUUGGUUACUCAGAUGCUUUUGAACUGCAACUCCCAGAAACCCCAGUCAGCACAGCUGGUGGUGAAGGCUUCUGGGAGUUGCAGUCCAAAACUCCUGAGUAACCCAAGGUUAAGAACCAGUGCCUUAUAUUUUUAUAAAAGAGUGAACUUUUUUUUGUUCUUGGGUUAGAGCAGGGCUAAGGACCAUGUCCUUGAGGUUAUUUUUAGACUCCCCUCUGCCUUCCCAGCAUAUUAAUUUUUGUUUAUCUCCUGUGUUUUCCUUCACAGUAAAUAAAACCCUGUUUUCUUUUAGGUAAUAUGGUUUU